GAUGAACGCUGGCGGCGUGCCUAAUACAUGCAAGUCGAGCGAACAGACGAGGAGCUUGCUCCUCUGACGUUAGCGGCGGACGGGUGAGUAACACGUGGAUAACCUACCUAUAAGACUGGGAUAACUUCGGGAAACCGGAGCUAAUACCGGAUAAUAUAUUGAACCGCAUGGUUCAAUAGUGAAAGACGGUUUUGCUGUCACUUAUAGAUGGAUCCGCGCCGCAUUAGCUAGUUGGUAAGGUAACGGCUUACCAAGGCAACGAUGCGUAGCCGACCUGAGAGGGGGAUCGGCCACACGGGAACUGAGACACGGUCCAGACGCCUACGGGAGGCAGCAGUAGGGAAUCGUCCGCAAUGGGCGAAAGCCUGACGGAGCAACGCCGCGUGAGUGAUGAAGGUCUUCGGAUCGUAAAACUCUGUUAUUAGGGAAGAACAAAUGUGUGAGUAACUAUGCACGUCUUGACGGUACCUAAUCAGAAAGCCACGGCUAACUACGUG
rnacentral:rRNA from 1 species